rnacentral:tRNA from 1 species
CAGAGCGUAGUAUAACCAAUACAUCUCCCUUACACGGAAAAGAUACCCACGAAAAAUGGGUCGCCCUGA